CCUCAUCCAUUGCCGACCGUCAUCAACCGCCACAGCCGCCAACAUCUACACCGCGCUCACCAUCUCCAGCCGCGCGUUCUUCCUCACCAUCUGUCGUCCACCGAAUCGCCGGCAAAACCUCUCAACAUAACCGCUCAACACCCUUCUUCUCCACUUCGACCGUCGAAAUACUCCUCCGAUUCACCUCACAUCUUCCAUCACUUUAACAAGCGUAAUCUCACCGUGAGCAACUCCACUCAGCCGCUCCUUUCCUUCAACAGAAGCUAAAGUCAUCUUCUCCAAUUCAACACUGUUUUUUUGUUUUGCUUUCAAAAUUGGGAAGGUUAUAUUUUCUAUUCUGCUUGGGUGUUAUCUCUUUUCUGCAGGUUGAGUUUAAUUUACUAACCUGAUCGGGAUACCGCAAGGAUGUGAUUCAAUUAGAUGUCGCGAUGUACACGUUUCAGUUAUGAUUUGUUCCUCUUUGGAUCGCCGCUUCGGUUACGGUACCGAGUUUCUUACAUUUCUCAUAAUUCAUAUAUAUCUUGUGAUAAGCUAAAAGUUGUGAUUGAAUUACAAAGUCAAAAUUUGUGCAGAAUGAGCAUCCUGCUGCUGUGGAACAAUAGAAAUAUUUUGUUUUAAUUUUAGUAUAUAUUUUAAAAUUGGCUCUGCACUAUUACUGUUAAAUAUGUGCAGAAUGAAGUUCCAUCCCUGUUUUAAAAGUGAUCAAACCAACAUAUAAAACAUUGUUAAAUUAAUGAAACAUUUUCUUAUGAAUUUUUUAACUAUAAGAGAAAUAGUUCAUAGUCACGAUCGAUCGGUGAGGUCGCCGAAAUAUCAUUGUUUUCCUUUGAUAAAAUGUUGAUGUUGCUGCUCCGAAUGAGUCUGAGUUGUCGUCUACGGCACUAGUUGUUUUUUUGGAUCAGUGAUGACAUAUCCAUUGUUACGGUACAAAUCAAUUUAAAUUUGUGGCAUAACGUUGAAUCUUUCAUUUUCAUAACAGUACUGGAUAUAUUUGGGAUAGGUUGUGUUUGGGGUAAUUUUUCGGUUCCAUCUUAGAUAUGUAUUCAUUUUGCUUUGAACUCUGCAUUGCUUAUGUUAGUUAUCCUUUUGUAGCAGGAUGUACCAGUAAUUUUCUUUUCUUUUCUUGAAGUGGCUUUACUUGGCUUUUAUUUUUCGGUUGCAAUUACUAUUCAUUUUCAAUUCAAAUUAUUCAGUGAUUGGUAUUAUGUUUGUAUGUUGGAAUUCUAGUAAUCCUGUAAAUAAUCAUAACGUGUUCUAUUUUUCCUUUGCACUAUAUUAUAUCUAUUUCGGUUUCAAUUUGAUUACUUUGCGUAUCGUCUACAUUAUGCGUUUCAAUAACGAAUGCUUGUAUGUCGAAGUUUUGUUUUGAGUUAUAUGUUGGAUUUUUAAUGACAUGGUAAUGAUCUUGUAAUUAUGAUAAUUACGCGUUCUAUUUUACACUGUAUUGUGAGUUUUGAUUACAUAUGUGUUUCGAUUGCGUAUCCAUUUCGGUUAUAGUUUUGUAAAUUACUGAUAAUUCCCUUUUGUUGAUUCUGUUAACUCUAUUUUUUACAAGAUGAUUAAGUGAUUGUUGUUCCCACUUGUUUAACUGAUAUGGCGAACUAAGUGUAUAACUUACCGGAUAUUUUUAUGCUUGUAAUGCUAUCCAUAGUUUUGACAAUGUUGAAAUUUUGUGCUUUAAAAUUUAAGUUCUUUUCAUUAAAAGCCAACACUUUUGUUUUGCUGCACAUUUUAAUGGUAGGGCUG
rnacentral:lncRNA from 1 species